rnacentral:rRNA from 1 species
UGAAGAAUAUUGGGCAAUGGGCGAAAGCCUGACCCAGCAACGCCGCGUGAAGGAAGAAGGUUUUCGGAUCGUAAAGCUCUGUCGAGUGGGAAGAAAUGUAUCAUGGCUAAUAUCCAUGGUAUUUGACGGUACCGCUAAAGGAAGCACCGGCUAACUCCGUGCCAGCAGCCGCGGUAAUACGGGGGGUGCAAGCGUUGUUCGGAAUUAUUGGGCGUAAAGAGCGUGUAGGCGGCUGAAUAAGUCAGAUGUGAAAUCCCUGGGCUUAACCCAGGAAGUGCAUUUGAAACUAUUCAGCUUGAGUAGGGGAGAGGAAAGUGGAAUUCCUGGUGUAGAGGUGAAAUUCGUAGAUAUCAGGAGGAACACCGGUGGCGAAGGCGACUUUCUGGCCCUAUACUGACGCUGAGACGCGAGAGCGUGGGUAGCAAACA